rnacentral:rRNA from 1 species
UACGGGGGGAGCAAGCGUUGUUCGGAUUUACUGGGCGUAAAGGGCGCGUAGGCGGCACCGCAAGUCGACUGUGAAAUCUCCGGGCUUAACCCGGAAAGGUCAGCCGAUACUGCGGGGCUAGAGUGCAGAAGGGGCAACUGGAAUUCUCGGUGUAGCGGUGAAAUGCGUAGAUAUCGAGAGGAACACCUGCGGCGAAGGCGGCAUCCUGGACCGGUAUUGACGCUGAGGAGCGAAAGCCAGGGGAGCAAACGGG